CGCAGGUGGUUGAGAUCAUGGCCUUCAGGGAGAUAUGAUUACUUUACACAGCUGAUUGCUACCUGAAAGAAGUCAGACUACAAUUAAGACUGUCAGAAUUUCCAAUGUCUGCAAUUAUCCAGCACCUAUGAAAUAGUGCUUUGAGGAGCCUCGUCUUAACAUGAAGUUCAGUUAAUAAUGCUGCUAACAAAUAGGCCAAGGAUGGUCUUUGGCUCUAGGCUGAAAAUCUGGCUGCC
rnacentral:lncRNA from 1 species